rnacentral:rRNA from 1 species
CCCUUAGAUGUUCUGGGCCGCACGCGCGCUACACUGAUGCAUUCAACGAGCCUAUCCUUGACCGACAGGUCCGGGUAAUCUUUGAAUCUGCAUCGUGACGGGGAUAGAUUAUUGCAAUUAUUAAUCUUCAACGAGGAAUGCCUAGUAGGCGCAAGUCAUCAGCUUGCGCCGAUUACGUCCCUGCCCUUUGUACACACCGCCCGUCGCUCCUACCGAUUGGGUGUGCUGGUGAAAUGUUCGGAUCGGCCGUUUGUCGCGGUUUCCGCGUCAUGUGGCUGAGAAGUUCAUUAAACCCUCCCACCUAGAGGAAGGAGAAGUCGUAACA